AUAGGAAAGUUCUUUGUAAAUAUAAGUAUUAAUUCAAUAUUGUUCCAAAAAACAAUCCAUCACAUGGAUAUGUGUAUAAUACACUGCUUAUUUUAUUAUUUACAUGUGCAUGUUUAGAAAUUUAAAAAAACGUUAUUUGGUGAUAAUGUAAUACAAUUUUAAAUCAACCCUACAGGAUUGAUGUAUUCUGAUUGAAGUAAAAACAGAUUUAAGUUUACAUGUCUUGCAUUAUUUUACAUAAUGGCCAA
rnacentral:lncRNA from 1 species